UACGUAGGGGGCAAGCGUUGUCCGGAAUCAUUGGGCGUAAAGCGCGUGUAGGCGGCUCGAUAAGUCCGCUCUGAAAGCCCGGGGCUCAACCCCGGGAGGCGGGUGGAUACUGUCGAGCUCGAGUCCGGAAGAGGCAAGUGGAAUUCCCGGUGUAGCGGUGAAAUGCGCAGAUAUCGGGAAGAACACCAAUGGCGAAAGCAGCUCUCUGGGACGGUACUGACGCUGAGACGCGAAAGCGUGGGGAGCGAACAGG
rnacentral:rRNA from 1 species